AUCUAAUUUCCCAUUUUCUCCCUGUUCCCCAGGUGGAAGCAUUUGCCCCAGGAUGGUUCUGCCUUCAGUGCUGUUCUCUCCAAGAGUGAGCAUCCAAAUCCUUGCAGUGUCAAAGGCCUCACCCUGGGGAAUUCUGAGUGUCUAGGAACUCCCAUAUGAUGAAGGAAACCAAGGUCUUCUUCUGAGCCACCCUACCUCCUGUACAGAUGUGGCUUCUCCGACACCGUUGCUGGUCCAGGGCAGCCCCAUUACCCCCCAGUUCAGGGCAGUAUUUCCAGAUGCACCAGCUGAAUUCAGGUGGGACAAGCUCUCAUCACAAGUGGCGUCCGUGUGCCCUGCACAGGAUUCAGAAGAGAUCUGAGCUGAGCACUGCCUUCCCCAGCAACUCCUCUUCCUCCAGUCCCAGUUGCCACAAGGAAGGGAGGAGUCCAAGGUUUGAUGA